AUCGUAUCCAGUAUAUAUCCUCUUAAUCACAGAGACUGAUCCAAAGAGCUUAGAAGGCCUUUUCUAUUGAUUUCAACAGGCUCAAACUCUAAAAGAGGGCUUAUAAUGAAACUAUGUGUCCCAGAGUAAACUGCUUGUGCCCUUGCAGCUCUUUCCUAGUGAACUGAUUUUUCAGAAAUAGGAGACGAUCCUGAUAACCAGGCUAUAAGUCAGUCAGGUAUCAUGGUCUCCUCUGUUCGUCAAAGGACUGAAGUCAGGUAACAGGAAGGAUUGGGUAAUGGCUCUAGGAGCUGGAGGUAUGAAGCAUUAUUUCUGGGUGCCUCUGACUCCUGCAGCUAUGAAUUACAGGCAAGGCCUAGAGGUCCUCAGACACAGGACUGCAGUUAACUUUCCUGCUGCCUCACUGAUUUCAUCUUGGGUUGCACCACAGGAGGUUAAUGCAGUGACUCACUUACACUUCACAUUUUCAUUGCCAGAGCUGUAUUGCCAUGCAUGUCUUCAUCAUGUUGUCUGUCAGCAUCCUAAUGCAUCUAUUAUAAUAGUAUUUAAGGCUGCUUCUUUCGAUCAUGUUUCUGACAUCCAAUGCUGAACUCAGUGAAUAUGCUUGUGGGGAAGCUGAAUCUUGCAUGCUAUCCUGAAGAAAGCAGGGAUUGGGUCUUCUUCUGGUAAGUGUUUCAGGGCCUUAGGCAAGCUCUGCCUUCAGCAACCUUGAGUCUACAUUAGGGCCCUGACGUACUUGGGGUGCAGCAGUGUGUCCUCAAAUGGGAAGCUGGUUUCCAGCAGAAAUUCUAUUUCUUUUCAAAAACAUUGUGCUUGUGAAAACUGACCAGGAAUCUGGCAAACUGAGGUGGGAUUUUCCGGAGCAACUGAGUGACGAGUCCUGUUUUAUAUUGGUUUUCCUAAAUCACUUAGGCACUGUUAAAAAUUCCUGCCCCUGGUGGCUGGCCUGGAUUCCAUUGUUUGCUGCCAAAAAAAAAAAAAGAAAGAAGUACAAUGUUUCCUCUUUCUGAUGCAUUCCAUAUUUUGCCUUGUUUAAUGUAAUGUGCCUAGGGCUAAGUUGUACUGGGGUUACUUUACAUCACUGGUAACUGGAGUUCCUCCUCAGAUGAAAGGAGCGUGGUUGUCUCAACCAAGUCCCAAAGGGAUGUUUUGCAUUACACAACAACAAAGCAUGGAUCAUCGUGACUGUCAGGCUACAGGGCAGUUCAUACCUUUGUAGGUUCUUAAGCCAGGAAGUAUCAACCUGAUCAUGUGUGUAAUAUGGCCUCAGGGUGAAAAUCAACAAGAGAAUCUUAUCCAGUAAUGUCUAUGUCCAUCUGUGCUGGGGCAUAACUUUUAGAAGGAUAUCCAGUCUUCAGAGAAAUUCGUCAAAUGAUGAACACACUACCAUGUCCCCAGAUAAAUUAUUCCAAUCAUCCUCUGUGGUAAAAGUUUACACCUAGGUCUUGAAUGAUAUCCCUUUAAGUCAUGGACUUUUCAAUUAGACUCCAACACAAAUAGCUAAAGAAGGAAAAAAAAAAGGGGUGUGGUAAAAUUGCCUUAGAUCUGUUUAAAUGUAUGUGAAAGGGCCUCUUUGUAGGAAUAAAGAUCUGACUGUGCUUCA
ensembl:lncRNA